rnacentral:rRNA from 1 species
AAAAGGUGGCUAUGCUACCGCUUUUGGAUGGGCCCGCGGCGCAUUAGCUAGUUGGUGGGGUAAAGGCUUACCAAGGCAAUGAUGCGUAGCCGAAUUGAGAGGUUGAUCGGCCACAUUGGGACUGAGACACGGCCCAAACUCCUACGGGAGGCAGCAGUAGGGAAUCUUCCACGAUGGGCGAAAGCCUGAUGGAGCAACGCCGCGUGGGUGAAGAAGGUCUUCGGAUCGUAAAACCCUGUUGUUAGAGAAGAAAGUGCGUGAGAGUAACUGUUCACGUUUCGACGGUAUCUAACCAGAAAGCCACGGCUAACUACGUGCCAGCAGCCGCGGUAAUACGUAGGUGGCAAGCGUUAUCCGGAUUUAUUGGGCGUAAAGGGAACGCAGGCGGUCUUUUAAGUCUGAUGUGAAAGCCUUCGGCUUAACCGGAGUAGUGCAUUGGAAACUGGGAGACUUGAGUGCAGAAGAGGAGAGUGGAACUCCAUGUGUAGCGGUGAAAUGCGUAGAUAUAUGGAAGAACACCAGUGGCGAAAGCGGCUCUCUGGUCUGUAACUGACGCUGAGGUUCGAAAGCGUGGGUAGCAAACAGGAUUAGAUACCCUGGUAGUCCACGCCGUAAACGAUGAAUGCUAAGUGUUGGAGGGUUUCCGCCCUUCA